UGAGUGGACGCCCAGCCUUUUCUGCCCCCGUAGACCUCAACCACAGCCCGGCCAGCUCUGUCACGACUGCCUGGUAUUGCUUCAGAAGACUUGGAAUAGCAUGCAAGCCUUUGGACUAUGGACAACCUUCUGUCAUACGGGUUUAAGGAUGACAUGAGGGCUGCUUGUUGCACACUCUCUAGGAUAUGUUUGGCUGGGAUAAGGAAGUUCAGCAGGCACUGCAGUGCAUCUCCAUGGUAACGUUCCUCAAUGGUGCGAAAGAGUUGGCUGAGAACAGUAGG